rnacentral:rRNA from 1 species
AUAUUACUAAGGGGAGGAAAAGAAACUAACAAGGAUUCCCCUAGUAACGGCGAGUGAAGCGGGAAGAGCUCAAAUUUGGAAUCAGCCACCCCGGCCGAAUUGUAGUUUCGAGAAGUGUUUUCGAGCCCAGCGCAAGCUCAAGUCCUCAGGAUUUGGGCGUCAUAGAGGGUGACAAUCCCGUGUAUGGCUUGCGGCUUGGGCUUGUGUGAUACAUUUUCAAAGAGUCAGGUUGUUUGGGACUGCAGCCUAAAAUGGGUGGUAAAUACCAUCUAAAGCUAAAUAAUGGCGAGAGACCGAUAGCGCACAAGUA